UUAAGCGCCUGGAAAUUAUAGCCCAUAUACAUGCAUUUGUUUGGCCAUAGUAAGGCCCGUUUCGAUGACUGGCGUGUUUGCAGAUAUGGAACAUCACAGUUCCUUGAAACACCAUAGAUGACACUCCAUUGUGUAUUCUGUAGUUCAGUGUAGCUUCUAAAUUUCCAUGCACCUGGAAAGUUCGAGCGUCAAUUUUCCAUUUCAAACGGUUAGUUGCUUCUCCAGAGCUGACAUUGAAAGGAAAACAAUGGAGUUUAUUGGAAAGUCAAAGCAAUUGAACUAUGGGGGAUAUACAAGAACUGAAGAAAGAGACAAGCACAUUGAAUGGAACAGUAGACAGACACACUAUAUAGGCCAUUAUUACUGUGUAUAUCUGUUAAUGAGCAAUUGUUCACUGUUACUGUAGUUUUACAUUCAAUGUAUUAAAUUACUGCGAUGUCAUAAUGUAUGCGUACUUGUUGAAAGUGUCAGUAUCAUCAAAUUCAUUGUACCUGAUCGUAUGGAAAUUGCAGCAGCACUGACUGCUGGAGCAUUUCGUCAUGUGCUUUUGGUUUGCUUUACCUGUAAAUAACAUGAACAAGAAAUGUGCAGGCACUCUUCAGUCUUCAUGAUACUGAUGAGGCUGUUUCUAAUCCACCAAAUUAGGAGGCGAAUGAGGAUUGCGAUUCUGAGCGUGCAUGUGCAUGUGUGUAUGUGAAGGACUGAAGGGGUGAGGCAAAGCAUUACAUAGUUUAUAGCAUGGUUGCCUGAAUGCUGGAUCUUCUGUGGGAAUAGGAGGAUCCUGACCAAAUACCAUCUCACAGCUCAUAUCAUCAAAAUCUGCCAAAUCAGAUUAAACGAAACUAUUAGGAAGCUGCAAUGAUGGAUGGUUUUCAUGAUUCAUUAGAGGUUAAUUAAAAAAAAUGUUAAUUUCGUGCUUUUUUGCUCGACAUAUGAUUGGCACUUGAUAGCAUGACUAGAAUUCAGACUCGGAUGCUUGUGGUCAUAUUACAUAUCCUGUAGGUAAUGGAAUAAUGAUUGGUUUCAUUGGGAGAGAGAUGAAAAUCGGUGUCUUGUUGUUAACAUGGUGGACUAGAUGGAACUAAUUAUGGAAUCAUAUAUGUUUAAUUUACGGCCAAGAGAUCAGGUAUUACUUUCUUCUCUUGAAUGCAAUUUAUAUAUGCAGUAUUAA